UUUGGACAAUACGCGAAAGCGUGAUCCAGCGAACUAAUGGAAGCGAAGAAGAUGAGAAUUGUAAAGUUUAAUCGAGAGUUAACAAAUUGAGUAUACUCUAGAAGAAGCUCUGGCUAAUACAUGUGCCAGCAGCCGCGGUAAUACAUGAGGAGUAAGCGUUAUCCACAUUGACUGAGUGUACUAAAUACCAAGGUUAUUAUAAACAACUAAAUUGACGAUAUUUUAAAAAUUAAACACUUUAGUUUAUUUUAUAUAUGCUAAUUUUUGUUAAGAUUAGAAGACUUAUAGAACAGCGAUUGAAUGCAGUAACACUAUAGGGCUUACCAUAAACUAAGGUGCUAAUCUAACAAAAAUUUAAUCUGAUGUAUGAAAGUAUGGAGAUCGAUAAGGAGUAGUUAUCCUAGUAGUCCAUACUGUAAAAGAUGAGUACUUUAUGAUUUUUUAAUCAGGAAUAGCUAACGCAAAGUACUCCGCUCGGGUAGUAUAGCCGCAAGGUUAAAACUUAACUGAAUUGGCGGGAA
rnacentral:rRNA from 1 species